rnacentral:tRNA from 2 species
GCGCCGCUGGCUCAACUGGCAGAGCAGCGGACUCUUAAUCCGCGGGUUCGGGGUUCGAGUCCCUGGCGGCGCACCA